CUGAGAACCAACAGCUAAAGGGUGACCACCCGGCCUUUUGAGCCUCAUCCCCAGGAAACACCAUAGCUGAAGAUUCUGAGGUCAGAAGAGACUACAUAACAUCUACGAAGUUAUCACGUUUACUAAGUGCUGAAGCCAUGUUACCAGAUCACUUAGAAGAACUAUUACUUACUUUUGGAGUGCCAGAACUGACAUGUUGAACUAGGACAUUGGAAGCAGGAAGAGUUAACAGUGGAUGUCUGUGGAGUGUGCUGAGGAAAAGUUUGUCUUGCCAUAUCUCCUUAAUGGACACAAGAAGAUUCAUACGUAUAAGGGAACUCCAUUUUCCUGUGAAUAUGUCCUCGCCUCAUUGAAAUACAGGAAUUUUCUAUAAUUCAAAGGAUGGAAUGUAUCUUCAAGAAAAUUCUGAAUGAGAAUCAAAGCAAACAAUGCUUUAUUUUGAUAAAAAACAACAAUAAUAACAAAAACACUGAAGCAGUUAUGCAGGUGCCAUAUCCCUCUGGUGUGCUGGGUUCCCUGCCCUGGUCUGAAGAGGAGAGUCCUCGCUACGACCUCACACAGCAUUCCCUUCUGUGUGUCUAUGACAUCUUCCAUGUGUUUACUCCUGGAACACAAGGAGAGAUCUCCAAUUCAGUGACACCACGCCAGUUGAUGCACGCGGGUCAUCUGGCCACUGAG
rnacentral:lncRNA from 1 species